rnacentral:tRNA from 1 species
CUCGCAGGUGCUGAAGUAGGCCUGGCAGGCCGCCUGGUUGACGUCCUGGCCGCCCGGCACGAGGGCGACCCGGUGCGGUUCGAGCCCGAGCAGCGCGC